GCCGGGGUGGCGGAACUGGUAGACGCGCUGGAUUCAAAAUCCAGUUACUUCGGUAGUGGGGGUUCGAUUCCCCCCCCCGGUACCA
rnacentral:tRNA from 1 species